GACGAACGCUGGCGGCGUGCUUAAUACAUGCAAGUCGAGCGAGGUUACUGUUUUGGAUCCCUUCGGGGUGAAGAAGCUUUAACCUAGCGGCGGACGGGUGAGUAACGCGUGGGUAACCUACCCCAAAGUCCGGGAUAACAGCGGGAAACCGCUGCUAAUACCGGAUGCCUUUACCUUGGGGCAUCUUGAGGUAAAGAAAGGUAACGCUUUGGGAUGGGCCCGCGUCCCAUUAGCUAGUUGGUGAGGUAACGGCUCACCAAGGCGACGAUGGGUAGCCGGCCUGAGAGGGUGGACGGCCACACUGGGACUGAGACACGGCCCAGACUCCUACGGGAGGCAGCAGUAGGGAAUAUUGCGCAAUGGACGGAAGUCUGACGCAGCGACGCCGCGUGAGCGAUGAAGGUCUUCGGAUCGUAAAGCUCUGUCCUUGGGGAAGAAGGCGAAAGCUCGACGGUACCCAAGAAGAAAGCCCCGGCUAACUACGUGCCAGCAGCCGCGGUAAUACGUAGGGGGCGAGCGUUGUCCGGAAUUACUGGGCGUAAAGGGUGCGUAGGCGGCCCUUUAAGUCGGAUGUGAAAGCCCGCGGCUUAACCGCGGAAUGGCAUUCGAAACUGGAGGGCUUGAGUGUCGGAGAGGGUAGUGGAAUUCCCAGUGUAGCGGUGAAAUGCGUAGAUAUUGGGAGGAACACCAGUGGCGAAGGCGACUACCUGGACGAUAACUGACGCUGAGGCACGAAAGCUAGGGGAGCAAACAGG
rnacentral:rRNA from 1 species